rnacentral:rRNA from 1 species
AUACGGAGGGUGCAAGCGUUACUCGGAAUCACUGGGCGUAAAGCGCGCGCAGGCGGCCAUUUAAGUUGGAUGUGAAAGCCUACGGCUCAACCGUAGAACUGCAUCCAAAACUAUUUGGCUAGAGUGUGGGAGGGGAAGAUGGAAUUAGUUGUGUAGGGGUAAAAUCCGUAGAGAUAACUAGGAAUACCAAAAGCGAAGGCAAUCUUCUGGAACAUUACUGACGCUGAGGCGCGAAAGCGUGGGGAGCAAACAGGAUUAGAAACCCCGGUAGUCC